GGGCGAAGUAGAGAGCGUGCGACUCACUAAGCAGCGCGUCCUUCUCCGCCGCCGACGAGCGCA
rnacentral:misc_RNA from 1 species